rnacentral:rRNA from 1 species
CCGUACCUUCAGUCUUAAUGGAGUUGAUUGCCUAGCCCUGUGCUACUCAAAGAGUAGAACAACUUGAGCGUGUUGUUUGAAGAAGCGAGGUGAAUCCCUCGCAAGCCUAAGUACUGACACGAGACCGAUAGCAAACAAGUAGAGCGAUUGAAAUGUGAAAAGCACCUGUGAAAGAGAGUUAAAAGAACCUGAAGCCAAGGUCGGAUCAGCGGUGCUAAUUGCCUUACCGGAGUGCUGGUCCAGCUACGGCUGUGUGACCCUCCCCUAGACUGUUGUUGGGGGGUUCGUCCUUCCUCAAUGGUUGAUGGGUAUGCCGAGACUGAAUAGGGAUAACAUAGGUCUGUGAUGAUAGACACCUUGAGCCAUUACCAAUAGCCUAACUGUGCAAUUUGGAAGGGCCGACUCUCCGGAGUCUGCUGUGACUGUUGGUUAUCGUUUGAAGUCACAAACUCAGCCUACAAUGUUGUCUCUGCUAAAGCUUAGGAUUGACAAACUGUCGAAACUAAAGAACUCAGGAUCUUAUGGGAUUUGUAACUUGAAAAAGGUGCAUCUCGCCCGAGGACUAGUUUGCUAAAGGGACAAAGGAAUUAACACUGUCUGGACACGAAAGUGAUCGGAAAAGCUAAGACCUGUAACUAUGAUGCCUCAACUGGUUAAGUACUUCCAGAAGUACAAAGGGACAUACUGAGUAUCAGUCGUAUUAAUCAAAAGGAAUUAGCGCUUCCCGUCUUGAAACACGGAUCAAGGAGUCUACUGUCAGUGCAAGUAUAAAGGAAUAGGGUUUGCAAAACCUAGAGAAGGAGAUCCCAUCCUGGGGUCUGUGGUGCGUAGUGAAAGCAAAACCUGUGCAGGUGUCUAGUUCUCUUCCGGAGAUAGACUACCCUCAACAGGGGCCGAUCUUGAGUCCACUGGAUCGAGUUUUGAGUCAAAGCAUUGGUAGUUGGACCCGAAAGGUGGUGAGCUAUACCCUUGGACAGUGAAGUCAUGGGAAACUGUGAUGGAAGCUGGUCUUACUGUGCUAACGUGCAAAUUGCUAGUCACACAUGGGCAUAGGGGCGAAAGACUCAUCGAACCACCUAGUAGCUGGUUUCUUCUGAAGUUUCCCUCAGGAUAGCUGGAGCCUGAUUGUGUUUAUAAUGUAGUUAUGCCUGGUAAAGCAAUGUAUGGGAGGAUUUUGGGUCGGCUUGCCUGACUCGGCCUUUUCUCAAACUGUGAAUCAGACAAGGUGCCCUUGCUUAUUUCCAUCUUGAUUGAGCAAGGGUGUAAGGAAUACUCGGCUCCAUGUGGGCCAAUACUGGUAAGCAGUACUGGCGAUGCGGAAUGCUCCGAGAGUGUAUGUAAAGUGUCCAAAUCUGAGCUCAUUAGACACCCUAAGGAUGUUGCCUGCUGAAGAUAGCAGGGCGGUGGCCAUGAAGGUUGGAAUCCGCUUAGGAAUGUGUAACAACUCACCUGCCGAAGUGGGCAGCUCCUAAAACUGAUGACGCUAAAGCUUAGUACUUAUCGUAGACCACUGUUAUGAAGGCACAAAGUUCCAAAUCAGAGUAUCAGUGUGUAAGGAGACUUGGUCGAGACGUAGAAGACUACAAGGGUAACCUAAGUUGGAGUCUCGACCAGUGCAGAUCUUGGUUGCAGUAGCGGAUACUUAGUCAGGAAUUAGUGGCUAACACCACUUGUACGCGAUUGAGGACUGGAGUGGAGCAGGUUUCCCCAUGCAACGUCAGUCGCAAGGGGGUUAGUCAAUCGUAAGCCAUCUGGCAAUCCCUGUAUUCGGAAGGUCACUUGAGAACCUCAUCUCAGAUCUGUGUUCACAUGAGAUUGGCGAACAGGAAGAGGGUUGUCAAUUCUUUCACUUAGUGCCUCGACUUGUUAGUGUGUGGGGCGACCCUACCGAGGGUAAUUCGGUCCUGCUAAUGCUGGGGAAGAGUCAUCACUGUGGUAUAAGGAGGUUUCUUCUCCUAGAAAUUGUUCGCAUCAUAAGUCGACCACUGAGGGACCUCCGGGGUCCUAUGUGGUUUGGCUUUGAAACAUGCCCAGCUCUUUACGGGGUGGGUACCCAGCUGGAUGACAUCUAACCUAACACCCAGAGUAAGGCAUUGACUCGUCUGAGGAAAGCUUUGAAUUGUACCUAAGAUCCACAACUGGUCUCCUCGACUAGUGGUCGAUAGUCACACAGGACAAUGCAGCUAAGGGAAGUCGGCAAAAUAGCUGUGUAACUUUGGAAGAUGCAGUGGCUCCAAAGGCCGGGGAUGACUGAGCACGAGAGCCCCGAUUCGGAACAUGUCUGUUCGUGGUUAUGACACUUCGUCCUGGUUCUCGGACUGGUUGAUGAGGCGGACUGAUCAUGGCUUCAUGGUACGGCGGUGACCACUCUCGUGAUGGCUCCUCUUCGGGGGGGCUGCCUUGGUUAUUCAAUAACGGAUCAAGUUGGAACUGUUUCUACACAGGGGAAUCUAACUGUUUAAUUGAAACAUAGCUAAGGGAAGAUGUUGGGCGUCCAACUUCCUUGGUGACUUCUGCCCAGUGCUCUGAAUGUGAAAGCAAAGGAAUUCAAACAAGCCCGGGUAAACGGCGGGAGUAACUAUGACUCUCUUAAGGUAGCCAAAUGCCUCGUCAGCUAAUUAUUGACGUGCAUGAACGGAUUAAUGAGAUUCCCACUGUCCCUAGCUGCUACCUGGUGAACCAACAGCCAAGGGAACGGGCUUGGAAGUUGCAGCGGGGAAAGAAGACCCUGUUGAGUUUGACUCUAGUCUGACUUCGUGCAGAGAUAUGGAAGGCGUAGAAUAGGUGGGAGCCCUUAAAUCAGAAAUGAAAUACCACUACUUUCAUGGUCCCUUUACUUAUAUGGUGAAACGGUGACAUGAGCCGCCUACGUUAUCGUGGGAAAGAGAUGGCACUUUGUUUGUCGCUCAGGCUCGCAAAAUGUAUUCACGGUAUCAACGGCCCGCACCUGGGCAAGAUCCGAGGAUCACAUCCAAUCAUCCGUUAUUCCACCAUAGACACAAAUCAGAUGGGGAGUUUGGCUGGGGCGGCACGCCAGCCAGAACACAACGCUGGCGUCCAUAAGUUUAGCUCAAUGUGAACAGAAAUCACCUGUAGAGGAGAAGGCUAAAAGCCAAGUUGAUGUGUCGACCUUCAGUAUUGGUCCUCAAUGUGAAAGCAUGGCCUACCGAUCCUUUGGGAAACAUAGUUAAGAGUUCUGGAUUCGAAGCUAGAGGUGACAGAAAAAUUACCACAGGGAUAACUGGCUUGUGGCAGCCAAGCGUCCAUAGCGACGUUGCUUUUUGAUCCUUCGAUGUCGGCUCUUCCUAGCUUCUUGGUCGCAGCUGGCCAGAAGAGUUGGAUUGUUCACCCACUAACAGGGAACGUGAGCUGGGUUUAGACCGUCGUGAGACAGGUUGGUUUUACCCUCCUGCACAUGAAGUGUUGCUUAAAGAUGCUAUAUGGAUUAAUCAGUUGCACGUUGAGAGCCUGCGGUAGUACGAGAGGAACCCUCAGACCGCAUCUCCGGAAAAGGUACCGGUCGAGGGGCCGUUGUUUCGAAUCUGCCAUGUGAUGGUUAUAGUCUGAACGCCUCUAAGUCCCAAACCAGUCUCUGGGACCUGUAGCUGUAGAUGACUUUGU